rnacentral:rRNA from 1 species
UACGUAGGGCGCAAGCGUUGUCCGGAAUUAUUGGGCGUAAAGAGCUCGUAGGCGGUCUGUCGCGUCUGCCGUGAAAACCCGAGGCUUAACCUCGUGGCUUGCGGUGGAUACGGGCAGACUAGAGGUAGGUAGGGGAGAAUGGAAUUCCCGGUGUAGCGGUGAAAUGCGCAGAUAUCGGGAGGAACACCGGUGGCGAAGGCGGUUCUCUGGGCAUGUCCUGACGCUGAGGAGCGAAAGUGUGGGGAGCGAACAGG